rnacentral:tRNA from 1 species
CGGGGACUAGCUCAGUUGGUAGAGCGCACGGUUUGGGACCGUGAGGUCGGCAGUUCGAGACUGCCGUCCCCGACCA